rnacentral:lncRNA from 1 species
UCGAGCUGCCACUACCCACCCAUCUCGCUCCCUUCUUUCACAGCAGUAGCCCUGGGAAAUGCGGUGGACACAGCGCAUCUGUUCUUCAUCAAGGCAUUUUAAAAGCUUUUUAUGGUCUACUUGAGGACACACUGCAGAAAUGUGGGUAGAGGCUGGGGUAAGCAGGAGGCUUCCUGACUGGCUCAUGGCGUCCAGAGGAAUCACUGACUCAGUAACCCUAAGUCUUUUGAUCUGAUUUUCUAGGACUCCGUCCCUGAUUCUAGACUGUCCAGCAUUUUUAUUAGUGCCAUGAGCAGAAAUACAGAAGUUCCCAUUUCCUCAAUUACAGAGGGCAUGGUAGUGGGAGGGAGAGUGGAAAGACCUCCAGUGAAAAAAUCUGAAUCGAAAUGAUGGAGCCACAGAAUGGAAGGGGUGUGGAUCCCUGAAUGACUGCAUGGAGGAGGACUGACCUGCCGACUUCCGUACCUACCCAGGACCACCAGGCAGUAACCUUGGAUCAAAGCUCACAUUCUCUUUUGAAUUCUUACUAAAGGCAGUAAGAGGAAGUCAACGCGUCUUGAUUCUAUGACAUUUGCCAACAAAUAUUCUGAAGCAUUGGCCUCAGUAGGCACGUGGUCUAACAGGAAUUACUAGCUUUCUUCCUUGGAUGGAGGAAUCUUGAGAACUAUCACCACCCUCCUCCCUACAAAUCCAGCCAGUUCCAUAUGUUUGGGUCAGCUACUUGCAAUUAAUUUCUGAUUUUUCUGAGUUAUAAAUAUUUUGCCUACAAGUAAUAGAAACCACGAAGCAUCAGGGGAAUUUUUUGACAGUUACUGAGUUGGCUUAUGGACUUUAAAUAUGAGAUGCAGAGACUAAACACCAUCUGGGGUUGUCUUCCUGGAUACACGAAUAAAUAGAUGUUUCUGUUUCUUCUUCAUGCACUUGCUUUACCACGAUAUGUGCCUCCACCUGGGACACAGCAAAUGUGGCAAAUGUCAUAGAAUUAUAUUAAGGGAAUCAAAUCAAUAAAAAUGCUUGAAAACUCAGAGAAAGACUGAGGGAAGGAAGAGGAGGGUAGCAGCCACAACCAAGUUUUGAGGCAUGCGUUGGAGGUAAGAAGGGGGUAACACUGCUGUCAAUUACGUAAAAAAUGCACAAAACCUUUUGCAUCACUGUUUUCACACUGCAUGGGAUAAUGGUUGGCAGCAAUGCAUAUGGGCUAAUGGCACUGGCUUUGGGGUCCUAUUGACUAGUGUUCUAGUGCCAGAUUUACCACUUAUGAGCUGUGCAUCACUGAGCAAAUCACUUCACUUCAUAGG